rnacentral:misc_RNA from 1 species
UUCGAUCCCAUGUCUAGGCGCCA